rnacentral:lncRNA from 1 species
UAGCACACCAUAACGUCUUUCUGAAGAUGAGGACAAAUUUUCGGAAAGCACUUACCUAGAAUCUGGUGUUUCAGAUUGUCCGAACUGUCUGAACAGUGCAGCCAACAAGAAGCCGCAUUUGGCUAGUUUGUAGCCAAUGUAUCGCCGCAUGUGGCUGAAACAUGGCAAGCAGCCAAACUCAUCUGCAAGAUGAUGUCCCCUUUUGGAUGAUGUUUGGUGGUAAGCUGCUAACCCACGAC